GCGGGAGUUUUCUGCUUGUGUUUAUAUUUUCAGAAGGGGGCUGAAGAGCUAUGCCCAGACUGGAGCACGAGUCUGCUUGCUGGUGUGUUUCUCAGUCCAGUUUGAUUUUUUAAAGGUACCCUCCAUGGGACAGAACUCUGCUUACAAACUUUAAAACUGGAUGAUGCAAAAAUUACCUGCACAGCAGAGGAGGACAACGAACCAUAGAAUUGAGAACAGAAAGGAUCAUUAAACAUCACCUACUCCAAAUGCAUUCGUUUCCA
rnacentral:lncRNA from 1 species